CCUCGUCAGGACCUGGCUCUGCCCUCAGAGUCAGUCUGGAUCCAGGAGUGAUUCAUCUUACACAGAUGAGAGGGGGUUAAAAAGAAAAGAACAGUCAGGACAAAUGUGUUUUCAAUGGUGCUUAACAGCAGGGAGACCAUUGAGACUUCAGAGCAAUGCUACUGGAGUGUGACAUCAUAAUACGCCAAAUACUAGGUUCUCCCGCCUUUUGGAGUUUAUGGGCUAAUUUCUCCCAAGACAUGUGAGUUCCUUGUGCCGCGGGUGGACUCGUGGGCGGCCGGCCAGCCCAGAGUGACAGCGACUCAGUGUCUGGAAGCCCCACUGGGUUGUGAAAUGAACAAGGCCCUCUGUGCCCCUGAUCAGGCCCGUGGGAGCCCCCAGGCUCCGGGAGCAAGCAUCUCCCAGCUCCUCAAGAGCUGACAUAUAUCCUGCCUUUAAGACAAGACUACAAUUGCAAAUCCGAGAAUAUAAAUUACACUUUCAUCUUU